AUUGAACGCUGGCGGCAUGCCUUACUCAUGCAAGUCGAACGGCAGCACGGGAGCAAUCCUGGUGGCGAGUGGCGAACGGGUGAGUAAAGUAUCGGAACGUGCCCAGUCGUGGGGGAUAACGUAGCGAAAGUUACGCUAAUACCGCAUACGAUCUAUGGAUGAAAGCGGGGGAUCGCAAGACCUCGCGCGAUUGGAGCGGCCGAUAUCAGAUUAGGUAGUUGGUGGGGUAAAGGCUCACCAAGCCGACGAUCUGUAGCUGGUCUGAGAGGACGACCAGCCACACUGGGACUGAGACACGGCCCAGACUCCUACGGGAGGCAGCAGUGGGGAAUUUUGGGCAAUGGGCGCAAGCCUGAUCCAGCCAUGCCGCGUGCAGGAUGAAGGCCUUCGGGUUGUAAACUGCUUUUGUACGGAACGAAAAGGUUUGACUUAAUACGUUGGACUCAUGACGGUACCGUAAGAAUAAGCACCGGCUAACUACGUGCCAGCCGCCGCGGUAA
rnacentral:rRNA from 1 species